rnacentral:piRNA from 1 species
UGUGGCUUUGAAGCCUAUCCUGG